GAUGAAGAACGCAGCGAAAUGCGAUAAGUGAUGUGAAUUGCAGAAUUCAGUGAAUCAUCGAAUCUUUGAACGCAUCUUGCGCUCCUUGGUAUUCCGAGGAGCAUGCCUGUUUGAGUGUCAUUUUAACUUCUCAACCAUAUCGAAUUGUUUUUCGAGGUGGCUUGGACAUGGGGGUUUUUGCAGGCUUUAAUAAUGAAGUCGGCUCCUCUGAAAUGCAUUAGUGGUAUCUGAAGCAGAACUGCUACUAUUAGGUGUGAUAAUUAUCUAUGCCUCUUGGUAUACUGCAUGAACAGAUUGCGCUGCUUCCAACUUGUACACCCUUUGGUGUUUGACAAAUUUGACCUCAAAUCAGGUAGGACUACCCGCUGAACUUAAGCAUAUCAAUAAGCGGAGGA
rnacentral:misc_RNA from 1 species